UAAUACGGAGGGUGCAAGCGUUAUCCGGAAUCAUUGGGUUUAAAGGGUCCGCAGGCGGAUUUAUAAGUCAGUGGUGAAAGCCUACAGCUUAACUGUAGAACUGCCAUUGAUACUGUAAGUCUUGAAUUCGGUCGAAGUGGGCGGAAUGUGUAGUGUAGCGGUGAAAUGCAUAGAUAUUACACAGAACACCGAUAGCGAAGGCAGCUCACUAGGCCUGGAUUGACGCUCAGGGACGAAAGCGUGGGGAUCAAACAGGAUUAGAUACCCUGGUAGUCCACGCUGUAAACGAUGAUUACUCGUUUUCGGCGAUAUACAGUCGGAGACUAAGCGAAAGUGAUAAGUAAUCCACCUGGGGAGUACGAUCGCAAGGUUGAAACUCAAAGGAAUUGACGGGGGCCCGCACAAGCGGUGGAGCAUGUGGUUUAAUUCGAUGAUACGCGAGGAACCUUACCAGGGCUUAAAUGCAAGUUGAAUGAUGUGGAAACAUGUCAGUCUUCGGACAA
rnacentral:rRNA from 1 species